CAACUUUUAACAACGGAUCUCUUGGCUCUCGCAUCGAUGAAGAACGCAGCGAAAUGCGAUACGUAAUGUGAAUUGCAGAAUUCAGUGAAUCAUCGAAUCUUUGAACGCACAUUGCACUCUCUGGUAUUCCGGAGAGUAUGCUUGUUUGAGUAUCUGUA
rnacentral:rRNA from 3 species